CUAUACCUUGUUUGUGAGGAGAAGAACAUGGAUGUGGCACAGGGUGGUACUAAAAGAGAAAAAUGGGUAAUUAAACUGGGUCUCUAAGUCCCAAGUGAAACAAGCCAGGAAAUGCAGCAGAGAUCUCCAAGAACACCCAAGUUCAUGUUUCAAGAAGCCACCUGGUAGCAAAGCUGGAAUAACCUCAAAUGGAAGACAGAGCACAAGACUUGGGAGGAGCAGGAGUUGCUAUUUGCUGGUCCUGGCUAUCCGAUACAUUCUGCAAAGCAGCUACUACAUCAGAAAAUCAAAUUAUCUGGGGAGAUUAAGAGCUGCCUGUGAGUGACUGGUUAUAACUCACAAUUUCAAGCAAAUUUUAAGACCAUCAUAUUUAUAUCUUGGACAUUUCUACCACUCCAUUAUUUCCACUUGGAACAAUCAUCUCUUUAAAGUCAUGAGGAAAUAAUGCCUAACAAGACUGUCCUACCAAACCUGCAGGUCCAUCUGUGAAUUCUUUCUCCUGCUCUUUGCUAAUGUGGAACACACACAACCCUUCCCCUUCACUUCAUCCUAAUAACAUCACAGAAACCAAAGCCUGCAUCAAACUGUGGACUUAAUUUUUUAAUGCAGUGUCAGUUCUUCGCACAGAUGAUGGCUGCUCUGGGCUGCUGAUGGUAGAUGGCUCCAGACCCACAUCCUGUAAGGUCCAUCCUUGUGGGAAGACGUCUGGCUCUUCCCAGGAUUCCUGCUUCUACUGAAAAGUUGCAAACUGUUAUUGAAAUGGACACGUGCUUCCUUAACGCAUCCCUUCUAUGAGUCAUCAUGAUGGAGUCAUUUCUAAAACUGUGCCUAGCUAUCACUCCAGCUGCUUUUGCUGACAGAUUUUUACAGCAAAUCUGAUAUCUGAUCUUCAAUUUCUACAGAGCACAUCUCCUUGCAAGGUUGAUUUGGCCGUCAGCACAACUAAAGCUCAAAUUAGCAAUCUCCCAGAUGCAUGUUGUUUUCAGCUAUUGAAAACAGAGUACAACUUCUUACUGGAAGUUGCCAUCAUGUGGCAGCUACUCUUGAUGGCAUUUGAAAGUGGAUUCAUUUUCCUCCAAUACCAGAAGACCUUCAUCACAGUCCUCAACAGGGUCCUCCACCCAGUUCGCCUCCAGCAUGCAAAUACAUUCAGAAGGAAGCCAAGGACCCAGCAGCCCCUGGCUCUGAAGAGGCAAAGCUGCAGGAUGUGAAGAACACAUGUGCCUCCAGUAUUUGGAGCAGCCAGUGUUAGUGAAGGGAGGACCAAAGAGAGAGCUCUGGGAGGACCCAGAGUAGCCACUGCAUGUUUCUGUUCUCAUCUUCAGCAGCAGUUUGAGCUUGGUUGGGGAAGGAAGGAGAGAACAAGAGAGCUUAACAGAUAGCAGUGAAGGAAUUCUUUCAUUUGCCUUCCAUUUCAGAACAGUGAAAAUACUGAACAUCAAAAGACAAACAAGAAUGUUAUUGUUGCUCAAGUGAACAAAUAAAUCAGGAGGGUAGGCAUGUAAGUAAAACUUACUUUGCCAUGUACACGAGGGGGUGAAAAAGUGCUGAUGGAGGAAUGAGUAAGCAAAUGGAUUCUUUUAGCAAAUGUGCAAAUUCUGAUAAUUUCGAUCUUACCUCAUGGUUUGGGAGGAGUUUGGGAGAGUGCUGGGUUUUAGUUGUGUGAUAGUAGAAGCAAAUGUGACUCCAUUUUGUUUUAUGACUUCAUCCUGUAAAACAACCAUGCCAAGUAGA